GAGGGUGACAGGUGGUGCAUGGUUGUCGUCAGCUCGUGUCGUGAGAUGUUGGGUUAAGUCCCGCAACGAGCGCAACCCUCGACCUUAGUUGCCAGCAUUCAGUUGGGCACUCUAAGGUGACUGCCGGCUAAAAGUCGGAGGAAGGUGGGGAUGACGUCAAAUCAUCAUGCCCCUUAUGACCUGGGCUACACACGUGCUACAAUGGGCGGUACAAAGGGUCGCGAACCCGCGAGGGGGAGCCAAUCCCAAAAAGCCGCUCUCAGUUCGGAUUGCAGGCUGCAACUCGCCUGCAUGAAGCCGGAAUCGCUAGUAAUCGCGGAUCAGCAUGCCGCGGUGAAUACGUUCCCGGGCCUU
rnacentral:rRNA from 1 species